rnacentral:lncRNA from 1 species
CCAGUUCGACAAAGACGGUAACGUUAAGGCUUGGUGGCACGACGAAGAUGUUGCGAACUUCGUCGAAGAGACUAAGUGCAUGGUCAGCCAGUACGACAACUAUACGAUUCGCGCUAAUGGAAAAGUAUGGCAGCUGAAUGGAACGCAGACGCAGGGAGAGAACAUCGCUGAUAACGGAGGAUCCAAACAAGCGCUGCAGGCGUACAAGAAGUGAGGUAGAGAUGAAAUGGCGAUAAUGAAUACCUAGCGCUGUCCCAGCUCAAGCUCAACGGCAGGAGCAAGGUGUUCUAAUCAUGACAGAAAUCUUUCACGUGGUGCAGUAAGCUAAGGGAGGACUACGCCAUCCGGAGGAUAUUGACGUGGAAACAUGCUGUAGAAAAGUAUAGGGUGAUUGGGCCUCUUUCAAACAGUCCGGAGUUUGCUAAAGCAUUCAACUGUCCUCUCGGAAGUGCAAUGAAUCCAGUACAGAAAUGUAGCGUGUGGUGACCGCGACGCCAUCUACGCAAGCAAUCGCGAUCAUAGCUUACUACACGCCACUGCGACUACCAAAUCUCGCAGUUGUCACUAACAACGAUGACAAGUGCCGAGACGAGACAACGCAGCGACAGGGAACUACCAUAUCUACGUUGAUAAAUGCAAGUCACCCUAACAUAUUUAGCACAAGUUAGUAACGGGACAAGAUGAAUCGGCCAUUUUCGUAUAGACUGGAUCACGCCAUUUUCCGAUGUUAAUUGAAAAGGAAAUGGUUAUCAUAUAAAUGUAUCUUACUGGUCCAACAUUUCUACAACACAAUUCGAUAACUAAGCGUUGCUUAGCUAUUCUUCAACAAAAUUGCCUCGUAAGGUUAAUAUGUCAACAAACAAAAUAAAUGGACGUUAUAAACCGUGAUGUCAGAAUGGUUAGAAAAGCAAACUGAUCAGUGAAGCGGACACACGUCACAGUUGUACGUGUCAUUAAUUGAACAUUCAUUAGUCGUUGCGUAUUUGAGAGGAGAACAAAUUAAAAAGUCAGGAAUCUCGUCUAUAUUGGCAUUGUGAGUGCGCAUCAUAGCCUAGCAUAUAUAGCCAGACCAUAACUUUCGGCUACGAAAUAGAUGCCAGCAGGCUGCAUGAAACGUAGGUAAAUCGCCAUGUACUUUGAAAAUCCUUUGCUUUUUACUUUAGCUAGAAUUUUAAACGUAAGAGUUGGUCAUGUAAGAUGUGCAUACGGUUUGUAGAGCCGUACGGUGGAAAAGUUCAAAGUAUUGCAAAGUUCAUAAUUACACUCACGACUAUAAACAGUAUACGCGUGUUUGGUAGCAAAAGUUUUCUUGAACCCAUAAUGCAAUCCUCAUAAUACUCCCGUAUUACGCGCAAACAGACGAUCUUCACAUUACAGUAACAUUACGAGCAUGAGCCGUAUUUACGUGGACCUCUGUGAAUACGCCUAACAACGGCAUUGUAAAUAGCUAAAUUUACUCAUAUGCACACUUUUCAUACGUUUAAACUUUAAUUAUAUAGCAGUUCGAUUAACUUAAUAAUAUUAUAAUAUACGAUGAUUCGCUUUGAUAUGUUUAUUGUACGCAGCAUCAAUAUGUAAUUAGUAAUUAAUCUACUAAUUAUGAUUUAUAUAGUCAAACCGAAAACCAAGAGUUAAAAAUAAAUGUAUUAUUUUAUAGCUGUUAGUUUGACUAUAGCGUUGCACUAAUAAGUCAAUUUGGGCAAAUUGUUAUAUCGCACGUGACUUCCUGUCAAAUCAAACGAGCAAGUUUAAAAUAUUUCUAACAAAUGAUAUAAGUAGUUAAAAUAAUAGCAUAUAUUAUACUCACCUCGUCAUUUAUUUAUUUACUUAUUUAUUUAUUUAUUUUAAUGUUAAAUAAUUACCUAUUAUUGUUGUUAUUAUAUGUAAAUGUAGUUUAUUUACCCAUUCAUGCAGCUAUCGCAUUGCUCCUAUAUCGCUAUGUAGGAAGUUUAUAUAAUGUAGCACCGUUUCCAAAUGUCUAAGUCUAAUAGUCAGUCAUGCAGCUGCGUAUAAUUAGAUUUACCUGCAUUCUUGGAGCAGGUGCGAACGGCAAUUAAGCCAACACGCGACUCGCACGUGUCGAGGCUGUAAGUACCUGUGCAGAUAUAUGUGUUAAUUACGUUCAUUUAAAAACAUGUAUUAGUUUACCUGAAUAUUAGCGCGUUCUCGGUUGUAAUAAAAAUAUGUGUGUCAAUAUAUCGUUAAUCGUGGUUCAUUUAACCAUCUAUGUAUGUAUGCGAGACUUGCUGUCUUCUGCAUGAUCAGUUGAUGUAUACUAGUUACGACGUCUGAUACUUGGUUUACUCUCAUGUGUGUAUUUAGGCGGAUUAUUGUGUCUUGUCGGGAGUGUGUACUGUACAAUUCUCUAUAUACAUACACUUUACUGACGUUACGUAAGUUGUUUCGUUUUUACUUUGUAGCGUCGUCAUUGCGCAAACAAAUCCCGUAUUGACACAUGUAUCAUGUUUUAGAUUUAUAUGUGUAACAGGGUAGUAUAUAGUCAAAGAAUGAUAUAAAUGUGUUGUGAAAAUA